ACGGAAGGCAGCAGUGAGGAAUAUUGGUCAAUGGAGGCAACUCUGAACCAGCCAUCUCGCGUGAAGGAAUACGGCCCUAUGGGUCUUAAGCUUCUUUUAUAGGGGGAUAAAGUGAGGCAUGCAUGCCUUUUUGUAGGUACCCUAUGAAUAAGCAUCGGCUAACUCCGUGCCAGCAGCCGCGGUAAUACGGAGGAUGCGAGCGUUAUCCGGAUUUAUUGGGUUUAAAGGGUGCGCAGGCGGCACGUUAAGUCAGCGGUGAAAUGCAGGGGCUCAACCCCGGCACUGCCGUUGAAACUGGCGAGCUCGAGUACGGAUGAAGUCGGCGGAAUGUGAUGUGUAGCGGUGAAAUGCUUAGAUAUGUCACAGAACACCGAUUGCGGAGGCAGCUGACUAAUCCGCAACUGACGCUCAGGCACGAAAGCGUGGGUAGCAAACAGGAUUAGAUACCCUGGUA
rnacentral:rRNA from 1 species